rnacentral:rRNA from 1 species
CGGCUCAGAUUGAACGCUGGCGGCAGGCUUAACACAUGCAAGUCGAGCGGGGGAAGGUAGCUUGCUACCGGACCUAGCGGCGGACGGGUGAGUAAUGCUUAGGAAUCUGCCUAUUAGUGGGGGACAACAUCUCGAAAGGGAUGCUAAUACCGCAUACGUCCUACGGGAGAAAGCAGGGGAUCUUCGGACCUUGCGCUAAUAGAUGAGCCUAAGUCGGAUUAGCUAGUUGGUGGGGUAAAGGCCUACCAAGGCGACGAUCUGUAGCGGGUCUGAGAGGAUGAUCCGCCACACUGGGACUGAGACACGGCCCAGACUCCUACGGGAGGCAGCAGUGGGGAAUAUUGGACAAUGGGGGGAACCCUGAUCCAGCCAUGCCGCGUGUGUGAAGAAGGCCUUAUGGUUGUAAAGCACUUUAAGCGAGGAGGAGGCUACUUUAGUUAAUACCUAGAGAUAGUGGACGUUACUCGCAGAAUAAGCACCGGCUAACUCUGUGCCAGCAGCCGCGGUAAUACAGAGGGUGCGAGCGUUAAUCGGAUUUACUGGGCGUAAAGCGUGCGUAGGCGGCUUAUUAAGUCGGAUGUGAAAUCCCCGAGCUUAACUUGGGAAUUGCAUUCGAUACUGGUGAGCUAGAGUAUGGGAGAGGAUGGUAGAAUUCCAGGUGUAGCGGUGAAAUGCGUAGAGAUCUGGAGGAAUACCGAUGGCGAAGGCAGCCAUCUGGCCUAAUACUGACGCUG